UGAGAUCUCAAAGGAGUGUCAUGAGAACACGAAUCCUCUUGUUUCUUUAAGAUUUCCACUGAAACCAUUGAGUUUUGUGUUCUCAGGUCACCCCUUUGAAUCUCCC
rfam:Brassica rapa chromosome A2, whole genome shotgun sequence.